UUGAGAUAAGGGCUACGCAAGGCUACAUCACUAGGCUGGUCUGAGAGGACGACCAGCCACACUGGGACUGAGACACGGCCCAGACUCCUACGGGAGGCAGCAGUGGGGAAUUUUGGACAAUGGGGGAAACCCUGAUCCAGCCAUGCCGCGUGAGUGAAGAAGGCCUUCGGGUUGUAAAGCUCUUUCAGCCGGAAAGAAAAGAUUACGGCUAAUACCUGUGAUUAAUGACGGUACCGGAAGAAGAAGCACCGGCUAACUACGUGCCAGCAGCCGCGGUAAUACGUAGGGUGCGAGCGUUAAUCGGAAUUACUGGGCGUAAAGCGUGCGCAGGCGGUUUUGUAAGUCAGAUGUGAAAUCCCCGGGCUUAACCUGGGAACUGCGUUUGAAACUACAAAGCUAGAC
rnacentral:rRNA from 1 species